rnacentral:misc_RNA from 1 species
UCCGGUUUGUCACCGGCAGUCUCCCUAGAGUUCCCGGCCGAACCGCUGGCAACUAGGGACAAGGGUUGCGCUCGUUACGGGACUUAACCCGACACCUCACAGCACGAGCUGACGACAGCCAUGCAGCACCUGUGUUCCCGCCAGCCGAACUGAAGGGUCUCAUCUCUGAAACCCACACGGGACAUGUCAAGGGCUGGUAAGGUUCUGCGCGUUGCUUCGAAUUGAACCACAUGCUCCACCGCUUGUGCGGGCCCCCGUCAAUUCCUUUGAGUUUUAAUCUUGCGACCGUACUCCCCAGGCGGGAUGCUUAAUGCGUUAGCUGCGCCACUGACAGGUAAACCUGCCAACGGCUAGCAUCCAUCGUUUACGGCGUGGACUAC